rnacentral:lncRNA from 10 species
CAGCCCCUCCAUGGAAACAUUUCCUCCUUUAUUGGCGGUGCUGACCCCUUGUCCAGCCUCUGCAAUUUCACAGUUUCAUUGCAGACUCUCCUGCUUCUUGCUGUUCCCGACGCGAUGAGCCUGGAUUGGACCCGGCCAGGAUUUUGUGGUUGUCCUUUGCCAUGACUGGGUUCCAGGAGGAAGCUGCCCCUCUCCACUCUGACCUCCUUGGCCAUAGAGGUGGUGGUGGAGGUGGUGGAGGUGGGUGGGGGUGGGCAUUUAUUUGAGCAAUAACGAGGGUUUCUCAAGUGGGAGGAAAAUAAAAAUGUCUCCUGCUGAGUCCUAGAUUUGCCGCAGAACAGCAGCAGAAGCAGCCCCAUCAGUCUCCCCGACCCCUGACUGGACUCUAUACCCCCGGGGCCAACGCUCCCAAUUCAGAGUCAGUCUCCAACCCCUGCAACAUGAGCUCAUGGAACCUGCUAAGUUCAUGGAAUAAGCUCAUGGAACUUAUUUUAGGACGUUAUUUCUGUAUGUACCUUCUCAAGGCCAUGAGUGCCCCGGGCAGGAGUCAGGCCAUACACCUCACCGGAUGGGAAGUGCCUAUCGCGGGCGCUGGAGAUCAGGAGGCGUCUGGGUUAAAAUUUGAAUCCUCUUUUGACAAAUAAGGAUACUCACGUGUUUAGAUUUAAGGAGCUCACCAAGGCGUACACACAGCUGGUGAUGAGAGAUGGGGUCCUGGUGCUGAGUCCAGUGUACUCCACGGCCAUCAUGCAACCUGAGUAUACGUGUUAAGCAGCCCUUGCUUUAGGGACCCACUGCAGCUGGAUCAGUGAAUUCCUUUUACUUCAAAGUAACAGCUAUCGGACACCCCCCGCUACUCAUUCUCAACAAUGUCACCUGUUAUGGGAGACAGGCAUAAAAACAUAGAGCCAGCAUAUGGCUCAUGGAAUGAUGAGAGGGUCUUUGCCUUUCACAGGUGCAUUAGCACCAAGAGGCCUGCUUGUCCAGCUGGAAAUGGUUUUGAGAGGUGCAGACACCCAACUGCAAGCUUCAUGGUGCAUCUGUGCCACUGCAUGCAGCUGACGAGGAGCCAUACAUGAGCUAUUUUGCCCAAAGCAUCGAUGGCAUGGCUCCCAUUGCAAUCCAGCAACAGGAAGCAUGGUGAAGAGUGGCCGCUGUCCCCAUGAAGAUGAGCAAUGUGACCCACAGACCAGCCAAGGAACCAGCUUCCUCACUGUGAGCAAUGCACACAGUUUUCCACUGUCUCCCCUGGUAGGAGGAGACCCUGAGCAACAACAUCAGGACGUGUAAAUGACUAAUCAUGUGCUCUUCAGGAGCGGAGAUUCUCACCAUGGCAGGUCACUCCUCUUCCUGGACACGGGGUGAGGCCGCGUUCCCCAGCCCCUCGCUGUGAGGUGCAGCUGUGUGACCAAGUCCUGGCCAGGAGACUGGGAGGGAGAGUGAUGGCCACCACCUCUAGGCCUCCUCUGAAAUCUCACCAGUUCCUCCCAGCUUCCUUGUUUAUAUUCUACCUGCAGAUGUCCAUGGAGCUACUGGAGCCCAGGGGAGGAUCCCAGAUUCCUGGGCGGUGUUGUGGAGCACAGCCCUCAUCUGGCCUAGGUUUGACAGUCAUGCAAGUGAACAAUACGUUCUUAUUUUG